UACGAAGGGGGCUAGCGUUGUUCGGAAUCACUGGGCGUAAAGCGUAUGCAGGCGGAUCGUUAAGUCGGGGGUGAAAUCCCGAGGCUCAACCUCGGAACUGCCUUCGAUACUGGCGAUCUUCGAGUCCGGGAGAGGUGAGUGGAACUGCGAGUGUAGAGGUGAAAUUCGUAGAUAUUCGGAAGAACACCAGUGGCGAAGGCGGCUCACUGGACCGGUAUUGACGCUGAGGUGCGAAAGCGUGGGGAGCAAACAGG
rnacentral:rRNA from 1 species